GAUGAACGCUGGCGGCGUGCCUAAUACAUGCAAGUCGAGCGAACAGACGAGGAGCUUGCUCCUCUGACGUUAGCGGCGGACGGGUGAGUAACACGUGGAUAACCUACCUAUAAGACUGGGAUAACUUCGGGAAACCGGAGCUAAUACCGGAUAAUAUAUUGAACCGCAUGGUUCAAUAGUGAAAGACGGUUUUGCUGUCACUUAUAGAUGGAUCCGCGCCGCAUUAGCUAGUUGGUAAGGUAACGGCUUACCAAGGCAACGAUGCGUAGCCGACCUGAGAGGGUGAUCGGCCACACUGGAACUGAGACACGGUCCAGACUCCUACGGGAGGCAGCAGUAGGGAAUCUUCCGCAAUGGGCGAAAGCCUGACGGAGCAACGCCGCGUGAGUGAUGAAGGUCUUCGGAUCGGAACUCUGUUAUUAGGGAAGAACAAAUGUGUAAGUAACUAUGCACGUCUUGACGGUACCUAAUCAGAAAGCCACGGCUAACUACGUG
rnacentral:rRNA from 1 species